CGCUUUCCCCUGCUUUUUAUGGAGCCCAUCUUGAUGUAUCAUUUACACAGGGAAAAAAAACCUCACGUAAAGACACGAGAUGUUUUGUUUUAUAGGACCGGUUGCACCUUGGAGCGGCCGCGCGCUCUGUUUGGGGUUUGUCUUGGAAGCAGAUAUUUAAAUGGCCGCUCUAUUUACAAACGGUUGUCCGGGCCUAUUUAUCCCAAUGUCUGCUUAUGUUAUUUAAGAUGUAGAAAUAUUUCAUUCCGAGCUGCUCUAUCCUAAGUUUACACUGAAACUAAUAAUGGCUUUGAUAUAAUGUUUAGGCUAAGAAGCUUAAAAGGGAACAAUGGCUCGAUCCUAAUGACCCAGAUAAACCCUUAACUGGUCACUUACAUGUGUGAUGUGCAAAUUCUGCGGGUCUAUUUACGUGUCGCUUGAUUAUGAUGAAUCCGAGAUAUUAACAGUUAUAUGAAUAUCUAUAGCUUCUUUGGUACCUGUCUAUUUUCUCGCCCUGCAAAAACCCUGAAACCCUUUUAACUGACCUCUGCCUCUCGCAGCAAUAACUCACGACAGUAAUGAACAAUCGGCGGAAAUACCUCAAAAUAAAAUCCAUCCUCCCAAAGCUCACGCUCUGACUCUGUCCGCGUGGAAAAACAUAUCCGUCCGUGACAGCAGUAUAAUACAUCCACAAACCCGGGAUCCUCUCUCUUUCAGUCUGCCUCUCUUUUUCUCCCCCUCGAUAAACAAAACUACAAAGCCCGGACUCCCCUCACGGAAAGUGGGGGUAACCCGCAUAUAAUCAGCAUCAUAUGGCCAGACCGGGGCUCCGGUUUUCUUCCCCGUGCCAUAACAUCGCGCAGUAUUAUGCGCCCCGCUCACGUGACGCAACGUCAACUUAAAUCCCUUUUAUUUGAGCCCGUGAAUCAUUAAUGGAGGCAGUCAUUGCCCCUGAGGAGAAACGGAUCAGUUUGGAGGGAGAAAAAAGAGGGCUAUGUGACACUGCAAUGUAUCUGGCAGAGGAGCAAGUCUCUCGCAGAGAAGCAGCUUUUCCACGUGUCGCCCAUUCAGAGGGAAAGACUGUUCUGUCAGUUUUAAAGUGCCAUAUAUUUGGUGCCUGUUAGCGGCUGAAAGACCUAAUCCUGCUGUAUUGUGCUGACUUUCAAGUGCGGCUCCAGCACUGAGCCAAGAUUAAACCAGAAUGUUUUGCACUGUGUGAGAUGGAGAGGGUCCCCCCGACAAAAUACCAAAUUACGGUUGGCAUAAUGAUUACACAUCACCCCGGAAAACCUCUUCUCCUUUCUCUUUCACAGCAAAGCCAGGGCUGCAGAGAGCUUUACUCAAUAUCGCCCCCCAGUCCUCAGUCCCACAGCUUGGCUGUAGUACCACUUAGUCAGCCUCUGGUUCUCCAUCAGCAAAAGCCGGCAUGCUGUUGGCCAAAUUGAGAGAAAAAAGUCACACAAUUACCUGUCCUACAAAGGGAGGGUGUGCGUCCUGGUGGUCGUGAGGGGUGCGUGUCAGUCAGCAGUGAGCGGAAAGUGGAGGUGAGGUAACCAAAGAGUGGCUGCUCGACCCCGCUGAUCACUACAUGGACCCCCAUUCGACCUACAUGUGCUUACGCGUUUCCUAUGACCAGCGACCAGCUGAGUGAAAUUACAGAUGUGGAGCUGUCACCAGGAUGAUAGGGCUCGACAUGACCGUGCACCACGUAGCCUGUCGCCACCGCACCUGAACUCUUCCUUGACCCGGGCAGAGGCGCAGAGAGUCGAGUGGGAAGUUAUUUUGGAAACCAAAGGCCCUCAGCUGGUAGCCUACUUUUUUCACUUUUUGUUGCACUUUUUUUCCACUUAUCCUUUGCUCAAAAGUAGUAGUUGAUUGAUUAUGUUUCAAAUCUCAACCGUUUUAGCAUAAAACAAACGUUUCAGAGUUAUUUACACAAAUCAGGGCUCCUCGUCGCUGUCAGCGAGGACGAGUUCGAGGCGCAGACCUCUGGAUGUUGGCCAGACGGCGCUCCAUAUCUUCCCACAAUGUUGACACUCGGAGCUCUUAACAGCCAGGCUUGGGUUACCGAUACACCCUGUCGAAGAUAACUCUUUCUGCGAGGUUUACACCGGCCAACAUCAAGGCUAAUGCGAAAUUCAACGCUCAAGAUGACUUGGAGCCAUGCCUCAUGGAUGCAGACGGACUAGGAGAGCCUAAUUGUUUGCGUGAAGGUGGUUGUAAUAAAGCUAUUUGAAUUUUCAUGUUGAA